rnacentral:ncRNA from 1 species
GAACCACUGCUUGGGAGAGCGUGGUUCACGGCGAUCCGCGAGAGGUCUGGGAGGACCGGGCGCGGGUCCUUAAAGGGAGAACCACCGAUGCAGAAUACGCUUCUGGUCGGCUUGUCGCGGCAGGUCGUGCUCG